rnacentral:lncRNA from 1 species
CUGACACACAGACGCGCGGAACUCCGCGUAGCCCGCGCGCUCCGGGACCUGCAGUGCUCUAUCCCCGAGCUCCGAGUCCUUCCCGCGCCGGUCAAACAAGUACACCGUCCUACAGCCGUCGAUGUCGCCAUCCCUUCCAGACCCCUUGGAGAGGCCGCCUGGAUCCUUGGCGCCCUCCGCUGCCAUGUUGGGGGGAAAAGAGAAGACCUCGCGGCUCUCGGGCGCGCUUCCCGGAGACGCAGACUCCGCGCGUGUCCUCGGCUCCAGCCGCCGCGGCUCGGGGCCUCGGCGGGCCGCGCAGCACCGACUGGGCAGCGGCCGGGAAGCAACCCGGGAACCGAUUCAAACGCUCUUCUGCCGGGGUGCCUCACGUCACUUCCGCGACCCGCGGAGACAGGGACGCGCUGCGCGCGCCUCGGAGCCCGCCAGCUGCGUGCGCCGCCGCCCACGCGAGCCUAGUUCCCUGACCUGAGAGCUGGCCGCCGCCGCGGCUGCUGCGCAGGAGGAAGAGGACGCCUAAGACCGGGCCGGUCCAGCAGGCCGCGGGGCGGGGCGGAGCUUCGCGCGCACCAGGCCACGCCCCCCGGCCUCACGCGGACCGCGGGGACUGGGGACCGGCGGGAAGACCGCUCCCAGCGCCUGGGGGGCCUCGCGGGAGGACGACUUUCGGGCGCGUCGCCCCAGGGUCUAUGCUGGCUCCGGCUGCGGUGCCCUGGAGCCUUCCCACCACGCCAUGCGGUCUCCUGGGCGCGACCGAAUCGGGCGGAUGCGGAGGCUGGAAGCGUGCACCACCUGGGUCCCCGUGCGACCGACACUGUGGCUAAAACACUGGGCGCCACUUUGCGCGCACACUUCCUUCGAGGUCAUGGGUGGGUUUUAGUGUGGGACAAUGAGACAAAGCUCGGCCUGGAGGAGGAACGGGUCUCUGACGUCACCGCUGCCGCGAUGCGCGCCCCGGCUCUGAGGCUCUCUGAGGCUCUCUGAGGCUGCGAUUCCAGAAUAACGCCUAACCUACUCACCGAGGUUUAGUCAGCUUCUAAGCGCGAAGUGCGUAGGACACCCUCCUCGAAAACUUUAGCAUCCUUAAUGGAGGAUGCGCUUCUGACUAUACAGAUAGCACGGACCCAGUGAUGGCUCAGCCCUUGAUCACAGACUUUACCCGUUGGACUCCAUGACACAUCUAUGGUAUGCUGAGUUUCCUUGCUGUUGAAGACGUCUGCUACUUAACCCAGCUGGAUGAUGCAGAAUUUGCUGUUGUGGUGGGUUCAUGCUCCAAAUUCCAGCCUCACAGCCUGGCCUUCCUGGAUUUUUACCAACCCCAAAGCAGUAUUAGAAGCUUCGUUGAGAGAAGCGUUGCCUGUGUGACAAUCUGAAGUAUGGCUGCGAUCAACUGCAACAAGAGCUAUGAGGUAU